rnacentral:rRNA from 1 species
AGUCGAGCGAGAUUAACUUGAUUCAAUUCUUCGGAAGAGAAACUUGUUAUGACAGCGGCGAACGGGUGAGUAAUAUAUGGGCAAUUUGCCUCUUAGCUCGGGAUAGCAGUCGGAAACGACUGGUAAUACCGAAUGUGAUCGUCCACCGCAUGGUGGACUCUUUAAAGGUGGGGAAUCUUCGGAUCCUGCCACUAAGAGAUGAGCCCAUAUCCUAUCAGCUAGUUGGUGAGGUAAUGGCUCACCAAGGCUUACGGGUAGCCGGCCUGAGAGGGUGAUCGGCCACACUGGGACUGAGACACUGCCCAGACUCCUACGGGAGGCUGCAGUCGAGAAUCAUUGACAAUGUACGAAAGUAUGAUCAUGCGACGCCGCGUGGAGGAAGACGGCCUUAGGGUUGUAAACUCCUGUCAGCAGGGAAGAAAGGUGGAUUUAUUAAUAAUUUUUCCAUUUGACGGUACCUGCAGAGGAAGUCACGGCUAACUCUGUGCCAGCAGCCGCGGUAAUACAGAGGUGGCGAACGUUGUUCGGAUUUACUGGGCGUAAAGGGUCCGCAGGCGGCCCGGUGUGUCAGAUGUGAAAGCCCACGGCUUAACCGUGGAAUUGCAUUUGAAACUGCCGGGCUAGAGUACUGGAGGGGAGAAGGGAACACUUGGUGUAGCGGUGAAAUGCGUAGAUAUCAAGUGGAACACCGGUGGCGAAGGCGCUUCUCUGGACAGAUACUGACGCUCAUGGACGAAAGUUAGGGUAGCGAAAGGGAUUAGAUACCCCUGUAGUCCUAACCGUAAACGGUGUGCACUAGUCGUGGGAGGCUUUACCCCCUUCCGUGACUGAGCUAACGCAUUAAGUGCACCGCCUGGGGAGUACGGUCGCAAGAUUAAAACUCAAAGGAAUUGACGGGGACCCGCACAAGCGGUGGAGCAUGUGGCUUAAUUCGAUGCAACGCGA